GGAAGGAAAGAAGGAACUGAGACUUUCCACAUUUCCCUUUUUCUCCUUUUCCACCUCACUUUCUCUUUGUCAAAAACUCAUGAGAAGAGGCAUGAAAUCUCAGGAUUAGUUCUGUAUCAACUGUCAGGAGACCUGACUUUCUUUGAUUUUGCAAUCAUCAUGCUUUAGAAACCUGAGAUACCAGCUGGCCAUGUACAGUGUAUCAUUAGGAGAACUGGCAUAAAUUAUAAUGGCUGGGAUAACCAAACCUGAUUUCCAAGGAUUGAGCAGGAAAAUAUAAGAGGAAAACCUGAAGAGAAUGAUACAAUCAAGAAGACAGUGACAAACUCUGAUUAAAAUGAUUGGGGAAGACUUUAUGAUAGAGCUGACAAUGCAUCUGGGACUUGAAGAAUGAUUUGAAUUUCACCUCAGGGUCAUGAAAGGAAAGAGCAUUCCGUGGAGUAGAAAUAAUAAUAUUUAAAUAUGUGGAAAUAUAAAAGCUCUUAUGCAUCAAGAUCCUACUGUAGACUGAGACGGAGAGAGAGAAAUUUUUAAAAAGGGAAAAACAAAAUCUAUGGGACCAAAUGAUAAGAUAAGGUCUGAACUUUUUAAAAAGUGAGAAAGGUGAUUAUUUUUAAUUAAACUGGUUUACUUG